rnacentral:rRNA from 1 species
GAUGAACGCUGGCGGCGUGCCUAACACAUGCAAGUCGAACGAGAAAGGGGCUUCGGCCCUGAGUAAAGUGGCGCACGGGUGAGUAACACGUGGGUAACCUGCCUCUAAGAUCGGGAUAACCUGUCGAAAGACGGGCUAAUACCGGAUAAGACCACGAUUCCUGCGGGGACUGAGGUCAAAGGUAGCCUCUGCAUGCAAGCUAUCACUUAGAGAUGGGCCUGCGUACCAUUAGCUAGUUGGUAGGUAACGGCCUACCAAGGCGAAGAUGGUUAGCUGGUCUGAGAGGAUGAUCAGCCACACUGGAACUGAGACACGGUCCAGACUCCUACGGGAGGCUG